CUUGUUUGACCAUUGAUGG
rnacentral:misc_RNA from 1 species